rnacentral:rRNA from 1 species
GACGAACGCUGGCGGCGUGCUUAACACAUGCAAGUCGAACGGAAAGGCCCUGCUUUUGUGGGGUGCUCGAGUGGCGAACGGGUGAGUAACACGUGAGUAACCUGCCCUUGACUUUGGGAUAACUUCAGGAAACUGGGGCUAAUACCGGAUAGGAGCUCCUGCUGCAUGGUGGGGGUUGGAAAGUUUCGGCGGUUGGGGAUGGACUCGCGGCUUAUCAGCUUGUUGGUGGGGUAGUGGCUUACCAAGGCUUUGACGGGUAGCCGGCCGGAGAGGGUGACCGGCCACAUUGGGACUGCGAUACGGCCCAGACUCCUACGGGAGGCAGCAGUGGGGAAUAUUGCACAAUGGGCGGAAGCCUGAUGCAGCAACGCCGCGUGCGGGAUGACGGCCUUCGGGUUGUAAACCGCUUUCGCCUGUGACGAAGCGUGAGUGACGGUAAUGGGUAAAGAAGCACCGGCUAACUACGUG